CUGCCCAUGUUGAAGAAUCUAGUGACUGGGGUUAGUUAUGGACCUUUAUCACCAAAGCGGCAAAAUUUAAUCUCAACCGAGUAAUCAAGUCUUUAAUACAUAUGUAAUUUUUUAAAAAAGAAAUUAGGUGGGGUCAAUUGACCCACUUACCUGAAAGUGGCACCGCCGUUGAUGUCCAGCCAAAAUAUGCAACAAUUUUCUGGCUAUAUAUAUGCCUAGUAGCUAAGCAGAAAUUUUCCAGGCUAGCCUAUAGCAACUUAAUCUCCUUCCGUUGCAAUAACGAGAAACAGUAUGGCUGACAGGUACUUAAUUAAUUAUUCUCUUUCCAUUUGCUUAAUUAAUUACGGUUUGUGCAUAUUAUAUACAGCUAACUAUAUUAGUUUCACCAAUGAAUUCAGAGGAACGGCUACUGAGCCACUGAAUAACGAACCCUGGUGGAAACAAGCACAAGGAGAACUUGAAAAAUUUAAGAAAGUUCAAUCAAGAGCACUGGAAGACCUUGUUAGUGUGAACUCCCUUUUCACAAUAGCCAUCUUCUUGGGCUUAUCCUUUGCAUCUCCCACCCAACAGAGCCUGGAUAAUCGACCCGAAUGUGCACCAGGCGUCAAGAUGGAAAAGAGGCUCGUCAUGUAUGAAGUUGUAUCGUUCGCUUGCUUCCUCCUUUCGAGCCUGGUGGCGAAAUCACUCAAGCUUUUGAUCAAUUUCCAAAACACCAAAGAUGUUCUGGACGUUUGUCAUGCUCAUGAAUAUCAAGUAAAAAAGCCAGGUAGAGGUUUCAUGAUUCUGUUAUCGGUGUUGGCGUCGACGCUUGGGGUGGUGUUUUUGACGCUUUCAAUGGUUGAUGUUGUUCAGAUAAAGAUAGGGAAGAUGUCGUGUGGGAUUCAUGAGACUCAAGCCGCUGUAGCGUCACUAUCUACCAUUGUGGCUCUCUCUCUCUUCAUUUAUUUACCUUCUACAGUGAUCACUAUUUUACGCUGUAUGUUUAAUUUUUAGUAGAAAGGACAUAGUCUCUGUAAUAAUAAUACAGUACAGUCUCUGUAAUAAUAAUACCGAUCAGACUGCAAAUUAUAUGUUUACGGUCGAAAUCCUAGCACUAGCAGGGGUGUCUUUAUAGUGAAUGUGUGAGAAUUUAAGAAUAUUGUGUUCUGUUGGCAUUUGCUUACUCUUCACUGUCAAAGAUUGGUGCUGUGUUGUAUCCAAAAUAUAAAUAAAUAAAAUAAAAGUGCUGUGUGUUU
rnacentral:misc_RNA from 1 species